rnacentral:rRNA from 1 species
UACAGAGGUGGCAAGCGUUGUUCGGAAUUACUGGGCGUAAAGGGCGCGUAGGCGGUCUUGUCAGUCCCUUGUGAAAUCCCCCGGCUCAACUGGGGAACUGCAAGGGAAACAGCAGGGCUUGAGUUCGGGAGAGGGAAGCGGAAUUCCGGGUGUAGCGGUGAAAUGCGUAGAUAUCCGGAGGAACACCGGUGGCGAAGGCGGUCUCCUGGGCCGAGGCCGACGCUGAGGCGCGAGAGCGUGGGGAGCGAACCGG